AUGGACUCCACCGUCGUGGGCGCCUUCAGCGCCGUCCGCGAGGGCAUCAUCGUCUCUGCCUCCGCGGGAAACUCAGGCCCUGCUGAGUCCACCGCCAUCAACAUCGCGCCGUGGUUCUUGACCGUCGGCGCGUCAACCAUCAACCGCCAUUUCCCGGCGGACGUCGUCCUCAGGCGCUUCGCUCUACGCCGGCCCGCCGCUUGGCGCAACCGAGAUACCUCUCGUGCAUGGCCGGGCCGUCGGCUCGAAAACCUGCGAAGCUGGGAAGCUCAACGCCAGCUUGGUCGCCAGGAAGAUCGUUUUGUGCGGCCCUGCCGUCUUGAACGUUGCGCAAGGAGAGGCUGUGAAGCUCGCCGGUGGCGUCGGAGCAAUCCUCACGAGCACCAUAGAAUUCGGCGAGCUGGUCGUCGGCAGCCCCCACACCUUCCGUGCCACAACCGUCACGUUCGCUGCCGCGAAAAGGAUUAA
rnacentral:rRNA from 1 species